UUCCGUAGGUGAACCUGCGGAAGGAUCAUUAAUGAAUUAUAAGUCGGUCGUCUGUGCUGGUGGCAACACAUGUGCACGUUGAUCGCAAAUCCACACACCUGUGCACCUUUGACUUUGGGAUCCGCUUGUUGGCUUGUCUGACUUGCAGCUGGUUUGGCCUCGCGCCUGGCCUGGGUCUCAGAGUAAUUUUUACACACUCUGAAUGUAAUGGAAUGUCUUGUGCAUAAUGCAUAUAAAAACAACUUUCAACAACGGAUCUCUUGGCUCUCGCACCGAUGAAGAACGCAGCGAAAUGCGAUAAGUAAUGUGAAUUGCAGAAUUCAGUGAAUCAUCGAAUCUUUGAACGCACCUUGCACCUUUUGGUAUUCCGAAAGGUACACCCGUUUGAGUGUCAUUGUAAUCUCACUCCUUCAACUUUGUUGUUGCUGGAUGUGGACUUGGACUCUGUYGUGUUACAACGACUGGUCUGAAAUGCCUGAGUGCACCCUGCUGUUGCAGCGUCUUCAGUGUGAUAAGCAUCUUCACUGAUUCAAGUUCCUUCGGGACACGUAGCAUUGUGGGCUCUGUGCUGACRAACCGUCCUYGGACAAUMUUUGACAAUUUGACCUCAAAUCGGGUGGGACUACCCGCUGAACUUAAGCAUAUCAAUAAGCGGAGGAAAAGAAACUAACAAGGAUUCCCCUAGUAACGGCGAGUGAAGAGGGAAAAGCUCAAAUUUUGAAUCUGGUGUCUUUGGCGCCCGAGUUGUAAUCUAGAGAAGUGUUUUCUGCCUCGGACCACACAUAAAUUCCCUGGAAUGGGGUGUCAUAGAGGGUGAGAAUCCCGUUUGUGGUGUGGACUACCUUGGCUCUGUGAUACACUCUCAACGAGUCGAGUUGUUUGGGAAUGCAGCUCAAAAUGGGUGGUAAAUUCCAUCUAAAGCUAAAUAUUGGCGAGAGACCGAUAGCGAACAAGUACCGUGAGGGAAAGAUGAAAAGCACUUUGGAAAGAGAGUGAAACAGUACGUGAAAUUGUUGAAAGGGAAGCGUUUGAAGUCAGUCACAUMGGUCRGAAUUCAGCCUGGCUUUGCCUGGUGUAYUUUCUGGCAGAUGGGUCAGCGUCAAUUUUGACUGAGGGAAAAAGACUUGAGGAAUGUGGCUGUCUUCGGGCAGUGUUAUAGCCUCUUGUUGUAUGUCUCAGUUGGGAUUGAGGACCGCAGCACGCCUUAUGGCCGGGGUUCGCGCCCUCGGAACGUGCUUAGGAC
rnacentral:rRNA from 1 species